GACGAACGCUGGCGGCGUGCUUAACACAUGCAAGUCGAACGAGUGGCGAACGGGUGAGUAACACGUGGGGGAUCUGCCUUGACCUUGGGGAUAAACUGGGGAAACUGGGUCUAAACCGGGAUGGUGCAAGAUGGGCUCGCGGCCUAUCAGCUGUUUGGGGGGGUAAUGGCUACCAAGGCGGGCCGGGUAGCCGGCCUGAGAGGGGGUACGGCCACAUUGGGACUGAGAUACGGCCCAGACUCCUACGGGAGGCAGCAGUGGGGAAUAUUGCACAAUUGGCGGAAGCCUGAUGCAGCGACGCCGCGUGGGGGAUGAAGGCCUUCGGGUUGUAAACUCCUUUCGACAGGGACGCGGUACCUGUAUAAGAAGCACCGGCUAACUACGUGCCAGCAGCCGCGGUAAUUC
rnacentral:rRNA from 1 species